CCUGUACCUAGGGAUAUUCUUCCAUCAUCAUAGCUACAGAAAGUACGUCACGUGAUCUCUUUUAUAAUAAUUAUCUUAAUGAGCUCAAUUGACCAUUGACCUUCAUUAUCGUGUCGGACUGUCGCUGCAUGCCUCGUCUUUCCUCCCAGUUCCUCCUCCCACAGUCUGCAGAGAAGGAGCCGGCCUUGUCUGCUUUGUCUCCCAGUCUCCCUCUCUCCUCUCCCUCCAGUGAUGGCGUUUUUCAAGAACCUGUUCAACAGUGGAGGAGAUGCAAAACAGGACUACUCCUCUAAGAUACCAGACAGACUCCUGCCUAAGGAUUUCCAAGUCCAUCAGACUUUUCAACAUGGUUUUCCAUAUCAACCGUCUUGUCUUGCGUAUGAUUCUGUUCA